AGCGCAGAGCUGGCGUGCACAGCCGCCCGCGCCGCCAGUCACACGGAGCCGCCGCGGGGGGCAGAGGCGCCGAGACCCGAGCGAGGGCUCUGCCAUCUGACAAGGAAGCUCUGUCUGAUUGCAAGGCCCCAGCUGCUCCUGGAUAGAUGUGUGUACAGAUGUUAAGGACCAAAUGUUCUCGAAGACUCCCUCACCAAGAAAUGUUAGUCAACCUAGGUCCAAGGGAAAAUUUCAGCCAUUCUUUACCUGGAGACUAGCUGGAACUAGACAGGAUUCUGAGAUUUUAAUCUCUUCUAAGAGAUCCCACAGAAGCAUCCCCUGAAUUGAAAAAUAUCCAUAGAAUAAACUGGCUCUGAUAUCAGAAAA